AUGAUUCAGACCUUGGUGAGUGGCGGACGGGUGAGUAACACGUGGGAAACCUGCCCAGAAGCGGGGGAUAACACCUGGAAACAGAUGCUAAUACCGCAUAACAACUUGGACCGCAUGGUCCGAGCUUGAAAGAUGGCUUCGGCUAUCACUUUUGGAUGGUCCCGCGGCGUAUUAGCUAGUUGGUGAGGUAAUAGCUCACCAAGGCAAUGAUACGUAGCCCGACCCUGAGAGGGUAAUCGGCCACAUUGGGACUGAGACACGGCCCAAACUCC
rnacentral:rRNA from 1 species